rnacentral:rRNA from 1 species
UACGUAGGUGGCAAGCGUUGUUCGGAAUUAUUGGGCGUAAAGGGCGCGUAGGCGGUUUGUUAAGUCGGUCGUGAAAGCCCGGGGCUCAACCCCGGAGGGUCGACCGAUACUGGCAGACUAGAGUACAGAAGAGGUAACUGGAAUUCCCGGUGUAGCAGUGAAAUGCGUAGAGAUCGGGAGGAACAUCCAUGGCGAAGGCAGCUACCUGGACCAACACUGACACUGAGGCACGAAAGCGUGGGGAGCAAACAGG